UCAGUGGAAGCCAGGUCUCUGUCUACUUACAUAGUUUAUUUCAUUUGAUCCUUCCAACGGGCCUGUGAGGAAGCUAUUAUAUGCCAUCUACCAAAGAGGAAACAGACUCAAGAGAGGUUAAGUUCAAGGCUUGUAGGAAGAAGAUAUGUAAAGAUGCAGACGAGGUGAGAAUACACAGGAGUUCUCUCUGAACAGCUGGAGAUGGGAGCUCCUGGGAGCAUCAAGAAGCAAGAGGCUAUGAGCUGAAUGGGGGAGAUGUGGAGGAGCCAGUAUGGAACCAGAGGCGUGAAGGGGGAGGUACACAGAGGAAGAGGUCGGUGUUCAGACAGCUUCAGUCAUGGCACUGGUUUAAGACUCACAUUUCCUCUUUUGGCCAAAUCCAAAGAAGAAUGUGUGAUUUUACAGACACUUAGUUCUGUGAUAUCAAGGGACAUUCAAGACAAGAGCUACACACCCGCCUUGUGACAUGAAGGACCUACAGCAUGAAACCUUGCCAUCAUCCUGCCCCUCCUGGGAAAUUUCCUAAAAGGACUGGGCUCUAGGACAAACCAACCUCCUUCCUUAUUUUGACUCAAAUAGAUUUCAGAAGGGCACAGACUUUUUCCCCGUGAUGGGACUCCUUCAAAGAGGUACCUGACAUUUCAUGUUGGGCUGCAAAUGCGUUUCCAGCUCUCUCUCUCAAAUGAAGUGCUUUCACCUGCCAUUGACUUUCACCAAUAACACUUUUGCCCAAUGACA